rnacentral:rRNA from 1 species
UUUUAGAGUUUGAUCAUGGCUCAGGAUGAACGCUGGCGGCAUGCCUAAUACAUGCAAGUCGAACGGGGUGCUUGCACCCAGUGGCGAACGGGUGAGUAACACGUAUCUAAUCUACCUUUUAGUGGGGGAUAACAGUUGGAAACGACUGCUAAUACCGCAUACGAUAUCAUUAUCGCAUGAGAAGAUGUUGAAAGGCCCGUUUGGGUCGCUAGAAGAUGAGGAUGCGGCGUAUUAGCUAGUAGGUGGGGUAAAGGCCCACCUAGGCGAUGAUACGUAGCCGAACUGAGAGGUUGAUCGGCCACAUUGGGACUGAGAUACGGCCCAGACUCCUACGGGAGGCAGCAGUAGGGAAUUUUUCACAAUGGGCGAAAGCCUGAUGAAGCAAUGCCGCGUGAGUGAUGACGGUCUUCGGAUUGUAAAGCUCUGUUGUAAGGGAAGAACAGCUAGAAGAGGAAAUGCUUUUAGUUUGACGGUACCUUACCAGAAAGCCACGGCUAAAUA